AAGAAGGUAGAGAAGGAAUUCUCCCUCUGGAGCUUGCAACACCAUGUCCACAGCUUAGUAAAUUCAGCUGUUGCCAUUGUAUGUCAAGUCAUCUCAGGUGGCCUUUUGUGCAUUUCCAGAUGUGUUUGUAAUUCCUGGAGCCUGGAGCACAGACGGCUGGGCUGAGCUAGUCCCAUAUGGAGUCAGUUUGGAUCAAAUGUCUAAUCUGUGGGGGAGGGCUCUCUGCCCUGUUAGAGUGUGGAAGAAGAAUGUCCUGUUGCUGCCCAGAAAACUAUUUUUAUAGUUAAAAAAGAUGUCUGUCAAGACAAAAGAUUACCAUUGGAAAAAAGGGCUCCUUUUAAACCUUUUUUUGCUGUAGCAAUUUGUUUUCUAUAUAGGAAAAGGAAUCGGUAACCAAACUUGAUGCUUGGACUAUACUAGUUUUGAUGCACUGGAGAAUGGCAUUCUUUCUCCCCAGAAAAUUUUGAAACAAGGCUGGUGAUUUGAGGACAGAUAUGAGCCUUCUCCAGCAGGUCAUCAUGGGCUUGUAUGACUUCAGAGCUUAUUCAUUCCAGAUUCAAGAAUUCUGGACCAUAAGUAAAUAUGCCUUGUGUCCAAACUGCAUUUUUGCCAAAAGUUUCCCUGGUCCUGGGAUUCAGCAUUGUGAUUCAUACUGAAGAGUGAACCGUCUAUUAUUUACCAGUAACUUAUAAAUUCUGUAAGUUCGGGUAUGUCUGAACUGAUGCUGUAACAUUUUAUUGGUGAAUUGUUCCCUCGAGCUGAAUCAAACUCAAAGCUAGGUUUUUAGGUGUAGCAAAUUAACCUGUUGAAUCAGUAAAAGGUUUUUUUUAGACACAGGCUUCAAAUUGUUCUCACAUUCUAAUUCAGGUGUCUUUUAAUGCUGUAAUGCAUUUUGGAUACUAUAGAAGUAAUUUAAUGCAGUUGUAUUCUCUACUAAAUUGGGCUGAUAAAUCGAGGACUGAAAGAAUACAGGAAAACUCCUUCCAUUUCAAUCCUUGUGGCUAUUCCAAGGCCUGAGGCUAACCCUGAAACGUGGACAUGGCUGGCAGUGCUAAGCAAGGUAAUUUAAAUGGCAGCUACACCCAUUUGAUUGGGUUUCAUGGAUGAGAACCACUGCUUUCAGUGUUGUCAAAUAACCAUUUUCAAAAAUAAUAGAGUUCUUCCUAUAUCUUUCUUUAAGUAGAAUUUUUGAAUCAUCUUUGUGGUGAAGGUAAAUCUUCCCCUGAAACGGCAGAAGUUUUUUUGCUUGAAUUGACCAGUCCUUUUAUACUUUUUGCUAUUUGUCAUGUUACGAAGUCUGUAAAUAUUUGUACCAACUGAUAACAAAAUCAAAAUGUCCCCCUGACCUGUAUCCAAAAACAUAUUCAUUUGCUAUUAGUCAUGCUUUUUCUAGCACUGCUGGGUCAAAACGACCUGUUCACUGGAUAUAGUGUCAGUGUGUCUUACGUAAUUCAGGAAGAGAAACUGUGAGGAUUAAAAUCAGAAUGAAAAGCGUAUGUUGAGCCUCACGUGAAGCAACGGUGUUUGAAUAGUUUCUUGUGUAGGCUUCCAGGCUAUUGCCUUGCUCGUGAUCAUAGUAAUCUUACAAAAUACCUUCUCACAAAAACAAAGGUAAAUAAUAAAAAAACUAGACUGGCACCUGUGAGUCCAGGUGUGAGCUGCAAAGCUGUUACAGCUGAGUGUUUUAAACACUGAUGGUCAUAAAUCCAGUUCAUUGUCCACUAACCACAUACUGUCAUGUCUUGUCAGGACUCACUUCAGGUUGCAACUGGAAUAUGGGAAAGGCUUUAUUUCAGGUUACCUGCAAACUCUUCUUGUGCUCCCUGCCCUUGCCUUUGAGUCUGGCUAAAUUUGAGGGAACCUCGGUGGGCAGCCAAUGCAGAAAACAGAAGUCUUGUGUUUGGCAAGAGCAGGAUUAUUUCCUAAUAGAAAGUCAAUUGUCUUUUUAACAACAGCAAGGACACGAACUCAGCAACAAUGAAACCAUUCCUUGCAUAGUCACAUGAAAGAAAGAGAAGUAAAACAACGAAUGCACUGUAAAUUAAGAUUAAACUAAUCAUGGUGAUACAGAAGAGGACUGAAAAGGGAGGUAUCAGAUGCCUCUCAAGGAGGAUCUUGGAGCAUUUUAAACCAACAUCACCUCAGAGCUUCUCAAAAUCCCAGUUGCUGGCAGAAGAUCCAAGUGGUAAAGAAGAGAAGUUGUGUAUUGGUGUCGUAAUUUUGCAGAGUGUCUGCUGCUUGCGUGGCUCUGCAGGUGUGUCAGCAGAAGCUGUCAGGAAAGGCAGUGUUUCUUCUCCUACAUUUGGUGUGAGGUUUCCAUACAGAGCCCUUUGUGAUCCUACCGGUAACGGCUAAAAACACGACAGAAAUACACACAAACUGGUUUGGCUUCUGGUUACAGGUAAUGCUUUAUCCUGGGGCACAUCAAACCCAAUGAGCUCCCCCUGAAACGAGCGGUGAGUCUGAGUUUCAACACCUGGCAAUUUUAGGCUGGGACUGCAAAACUCAGCUGUUUGUGCAGGGCUUAUUUUUAGGCACGGGUGGGAUUCGGUGCUUAAUGCUGCUGGACACUGCUAAUAAAUCUGGGUAAGCAGCAGCAGAGGCAGGCUCUGGCCAUGCAACCAGAGAGGUUGUAAAUCUGAAACAGUAAAUUUAUGGUUUAAUAGAAUUAAAUUCUGAGUGGUUAUGGCCUUUAAGCCAUACCUCUCGAAUUAUUUCUGCAGUGGCCAGACUAGAAAUGCUGCAUAAUGUACAGGGCAUUAUAGAACUUUGCAGGGUUGUUUGGUUUGUUUUUUUUUAAACACUCCAUCUGGAGGUAAUUGUAGCUUGGAGAGGGCUCAGUGGAUGGUGUUGUGUCUCUAGCAGGGCCAGGGUGGGAGGGAAGGAUGUAUUUUCUGUUACAUGCAUGGGCAUCGUAAUAGGGUACAACAGUUUGUCACAUUGGAAUAAUGAACUGAAUGCAUUGAAAUGGAGUAUCUAUAAUAUCUAUACAUAAUGCUACCACAGAGGCUAUCUCGGGUGUCAUAAACUCGUGAACAAGAGUUUAAACAAAAAAAAAGGAAAAAACUGUCUGCUGGGAAGCAAAGCAGCUGAGCAUCCUCCCCAGUGUCCCCUCCCAUGCAGCAGCAGGUCCCCCCACCUAGGCAAGAGCAAGAACUGCCUUCAGGACACUAAUUACAUCUCAGUCAGUACAGUUAAGUGACUGUAAUCAUUCUUUGUCUUUGCCCCAGGGGAAUUGGUGUAUAAACACAGAACUAUGAGGAACAGGGGAAUUAAGUGAAAAUGGAGCUACUUUGCUCUGAAACACGGGCAAAUGCUUUCCCAGUCCUACGUCCAUGACCCUGGGUACUGCCCAACUAACUGUGCCUUUACUGCCUCCAAAUUUAAGAUGUGCUGUCCCAAAAGAAAAGAUGGGAGUUCUGUCCAUUGCUGUACUUGAUGCUUGCUAAACCACGGAGUCAGGAGAGCUGUGGGCAUCGUAAUUCCAGCUAAACAAGGAAGAGCAGCACUUCUCCUCCACUGGAAUCUCUCAGCUCAGGUGCCCUCAGAAUGGCCGAGUGCUCCGAGAAGCACGUACCACUUUCAAUAAAUAUGCGGGAACACUGAUCCAUGUUGCAAUGUCCAGGUGGAAAAUCAGCGUUGCAGGUAGCAAACUUCAGUAUCGAGGAGCUGUAAACCCUGACAUGGCCACAAAAAUCUGGGAAAAAUCCCAAGCAGCAAACAAAAUCAGCCUGCAAAAUGAGACUGCUAUGGGAGAGCUAUUUUUAUUCUUAGGAACAGCCUGAGUAGAUAUGGUCACACUUGCACCUUUUUUCAGUUGGAAUGGGCAGGAGCAGACCAUAAACAACAGUCCCUGGUUUAUAAACAACAGCCCACUGGCCCUUGGGCAGCCUGAACUGGGAAGACAAUGGGAAAGUCCCCCAAGCAUGGGGUGAACUUGCACCUUCUCUGAACGCUGUU